rnacentral:rRNA from 1 species
UACGAAGGGGACUAGCGUUGUUCGGAAUCACUGGGCGUAAAGCGCACGUAGGCGGAUAUGUCAGUCAGGGGUGAAAUCCCGGGGCUCAACCUCGGAACUGCCCUUGAUACAGCAUGUCUUGAGUCCGAUAGAGGUGGGUGGAAUUCCUAGUGUAGAGGUGAAAUUCGUAGAUAUUAGGAAGAACACCGGUGGCGAAGGCGGCCCACUGGAUCGGUACUGACGCUGAGGUGCGAAAGCGUGGGGAGCAAAC